AAUUAGGAUUUUCUCGAAUCCACACAAGGUCAAAUAUAAAAUUAUA
rfam:Oreochromis niloticus linkage group LG4, whole genome shotgun sequence.